UUUCUGAGGAAAUUCCUCUUGAUUCGUGUAGCGCAAUAUAUGAAGAAUUGAUCUCAUUUGCAACAUAGCCCAUUAUAAAACUAUGGUAAGCUGUUAAAGGCGGAUAGUCUAAUCCCCAAUACUGUAAGUCAUUGUCCGUAGUAUUUAUAUACCACUUUUCUAUAGGCAAAUUAAAAGUUAUCUCUUGCCAAUGUCGUUGGGCCUCAUAGUCUCCAAACAUUGGGGGUUUCCCUUGACCACUAUAUGAAUGAUCCAAAUACGCCUUCGGAUGCAAUUAACAAAUGUGUUUCAAAAGCAACUUUUAGCAACCUACGUUUAUGGUGGAGAAUACCAGGUUAGAAUCGAUAUAACAAAAAGAAAUUUGUAAAACAUAUAUAUGGACGGAAUAAAAGUCGGAUACGUACCACAUAAGAAGCGUUCAAUCCUUCGGUUAAUUUAUUCUUAAUGUGGCUCUCAGAAUAUGGCAUAUUUAACCAAUAACUUUUUUGAGUCUGUACUUCAAUCUUACCGCUUGGUUGUACACGUGGAACAUCGAAUACAUUUAUGUACAUAUGUAUAUACAUAUAUGUAGUACACUUUGCGUAGUUUUGUUUGAUGUAUUUCUUACAUAAAGUGGAUGGAUAAAUAAAUUUGAAGCUCCAAGAUGACAAUCA